GUGGGGAAUCUUAGACAAUGGGGGCAACCCUGAUCUAGCCAUGCCGCGUGAGUGAUGAAGGCCCUAGGGUUGUAAAGCUCUUUCAGCUGGGAAGAUAAUGACGGUACCAGCAGAAGAAGCCCCGGCUAACUCCGUGCCAGCAGCCGCGGUAAUACGGAGGGGGCUAGCGUUGUUCGGAAUUACUGGGCGUAAAGCGCACGUAGGCGGACCGGAAAGUUGGGGGUGAAAUCCCGGGGCUCAACCUCGGAACUGCCUUCAAAACUAUCGGUCUGGAGUUCGAGAGAGGUGAGUGGAAUUCCGAGUGUAGAGGUGAAAUUCGUAGAUAUUCGGAGGAACACCAGUGGCGAAGGCGGCUCACUGGCUCGAUACUGACGCUGAGGUGCGAAAGCGUGGGGAGCAAACAGG
rnacentral:rRNA from 1 species